rnacentral:rRNA from 1 species
UACGGAGGGUGCAAGCGUUAUCCGGAUUCACUGGGUUUAAAGGGUGCGUAGGAGGGCAGGUAAGUCAGUGGUGAAAUCCUGGGGCUUAACCCCAGACUGCCGUUGAUACUAUCGGUCUUGAAUGUCGUGGAGGUGAGCGGAAUAUGUCAUGUAGCGGUGAAAUGCUUAGAUAUGACAUAGAACACCAAUUGACGAAGGCAGCUUAGCCUAACACG